rnacentral:RNase_P_RNA from 1 species
CGAGUUGACCAGACAAUCGCUGCUGCUUAGCCUAGGUUAAGCAGGGGAGGAAAGUCCGGGCUCCACAGAGCAGGGUGCCAGAUAACGUCUGGGGGGCGCAAGCCUACGACAAGUGCAGCAGAGAGAAGACCGCCUAAGCACCGAUUAGGUGCCGGUAAGGGUGAAAGGGUGCGGUAAGAGCGCACCGGGCCGCUGGUAACAGUUGGCAGCAGGGUAAACUCCACCCGGAGCAAGACCAAAUAGGGUUCCUUAUGGCGUGGCUCGCGUUGGAACCGGGUAGGUUGCUUGAGCCCUGGAGCGAUCCAGGGCCUAGACGAAUGAUUGUCGCUCUUUUUAAGAGAACAGAACCCGGCUUAUCGGUCAACUCAACUC